CUGUCUUCGCCCAGGAAAACAUGCAGGAUAUGCCAGAUAGUGAACAGGUGUUUAGAGCAGAUGAGAAGCCGACAGAUAUUUCCAUAACCAGGGAGAUAGUGGAACAGGAGAUAGGCUAAAAAAGUUUAAGACACCAGGACCUGAUGAAAUAUAUCCCAGAGUACUUAAGGAAUGUAAAGAGAUUAUUAGUGAGCCGUUAGUUUCUGUCUUUAGGAAAUCACUGGAGUCGGGUGAGGUACCAGUAAUGUGGAGGCAGGCUAAUGUAGUACCCAUCUUUAAGAAAGGAGAUAAAACUUUAGCGUCUAAUUAUAGACCUGUCAGCUUAACUUCAGUUGUAGGUAAAAUGUUAGAGUCAAUAAUAGCGAGGAACAUUAGGGAACACUUAGACAAACAACUUGAUAAAUCAGUCACAGCAUGGCUUCAACGAAGGGGAAGUCUUGCCUGACAAACUUGUUAAGUUUUUACAGUAAGGUGUAUGAGGCAGUAGAUAAUGAUGAUAGUUAUAUCUUAUAUCUGGACUUUAGUAAAGCAUUUGACAAGGUACCCCAUCAAAGGCUCCUGAGAAAGGUUAGGGCACACGGGAUAGAUGGAUAGAUGUACACACCAGAGUCACGAUGAUUUUGUAUCAUUACAAUGGGUGCUGUGCCAAGAAUUACUUAGCCGUGUUUACAUUGAAAACAUCUACAUAAAGGUACAACACACACACACACACACUCACACACACACACACACACACACACACACGGCUCGGUGGCGCAUUGGUUAGUGCGCUGGCUUCACAAGCCAGAGGACCGGGGUUCGAUUCCUUGGCCGGGCGGAGAUAAUUUGGGUGUGUCUCUUUUCACGUGCAGUGAGUAAGUGCGGGAUGCAAGUCGAGGAGUUGUGACCUCGCUUUCCUGGUGUGUGGUGUGUGAGUGGUCUCAGACCUACCCAAAGACCGGAAAUAAUGAGCUCUGAGCUCGCUCCGUAGGGUGACGUCUGGCUGUCUCGGCAGAGGCUGCAGCAGAUGAAAGUGAAUUAAAACAUUAUACACACACACACACAUCGUAUUAACUAUGUUUCUUACUCAAGUGACCUUUCCUUGUCAUGGACUAGAUUGUUGGAUAAUGUAAGAAUCUUAAAAGGCUCAGUAUUAUGAUGCAUAAUAACAUAAUCAUAAGCAAAGUAUCACACAGGAAUGCCUGCCAGUGAGUUCAUUGUAAUGAUCAACAUAAAGGUAUUCGCCAUAGCAGCCACAGAUGGUGUCCGUCCUUGUUAUAAAUAGUGUGAACACGGAGUAAGGUAUUAUUAUCUGCCUAUAGUUAACUUUCCUCCUCGUUCUCCACUGCAAGUCGCCCCUUUGUCCUUGAGGAAGUGGGCACAGUGAAAGAAAGACAGUGCAUACUUCCUCCAAGAGUCGCCUGAAGCCACACAGUCAGCUGACACUGACUGGCCGAUACUCAUUCCCCGGUUUUUACAAUUAUUUGACACUUUCUUUACUCUUUAGCAACUGUUACGUGUUUUAGUUAUCAUUUUGAUAAUUAUUCUUAUCUGGAAAGCUACAUUUCUUCAUUUCUGUAGUGAAAUGAUUUUCAAUUAAUUUCGGCGCCAAGGUUAUGAAGCAGAGCGUCCUUAGCAACCAUUCCACUAUGAAAGCAGCCAGCUGUUUGUUACACUGAACACUGAAAGUUGAUGAGAAUAGGGUUUACUUUUAGCUAACAGUAACUUUUCACUUUGAGUGUAAAAGUUAACAGCUGCACUUAACAGCUGAUGAGGAUACAGGCCCAGUCGCUUCCCGCACAACACCAUGUUACACACGGCUCCAUGGCUGGCUGGCCCUCGUCACACCACACACUAACUCCAGUAGGCUGUAAUAGGCUUUUUCUACAUAUUUCUUGGUAUUACCAUUUCAACUAUGCUUCUUCUAAAUAUCUCUAGGUAAUAUACGGUUAUACACUUCUUAGGAAUACAACAAGGAAGAGUUUUUAUCCGAGACAGCUGGAGUAGGCUAAACUAGGCUUCUACCUAAAUUCUUUUUGAAAAUGCCUUUUUAAUGGGAUGUUUCUAAACAUUUCUUAGUAAUAGUAUUUCUAAAUAUCUCUAGGUAAUACAAAUGUUAUAAAAACGAUUAUUAAUAGCUUGCAAAUGCAGAUGUUGAUACCGUCCGAAACAAUUUGAAAAGUGACAUCACUUCACCGGUCAGUUCAAGAAUAAAAGACUUAGGACAAAUAUUAUACUCAGUAUUAUAGUCCUACAAGUGCUGCUCUUGAAAUCAUUCAUGGUCUUUUAAAUGUAGCGAAAUGGAUUUUGUUCAUUGGUGAGGCUUCUGUUUGUACUGAUAACCGUACAGUGACUGCCUAUGUUGCAAAUAAUUACGAAAUAUGUCGUAUGUAUGGAUUCCAGUAAUUAUGUCACUCAUAAUUACCUUAACUACGCAAUGGUUUAUAUUUUUCUUGUCAUUAUAUCACCCGUGGUUUGUGCAACAUCAUACUGCGUCCUUUAAUUGUGGUAAAAAUUGACUCCAACCUCGUGCACUGUUCAUUCUUUCAUAGCAUCUUGGUCAGUAUCUUAACUGCCUCUGGCUCACUACAAUCAUUAAUGUAACGAAUGUGUGUGUGUGUGUGUGUGUGUGAGCGCGUCUGCGGAGUGCGAUAGGUAGAAAACGAAACUUGUAGAUUCAGAUUAGUAUACUUUAUUUAAAUUAGCUAUAAUCUUAGAAAACGAUGCAUAGAGACUUUAGAUAAAGCAAGAUGGUUAUUAUAAUUAAUCUUUUAAAGGUAUAUACAACAAUUUCAACUUUAUUUUAUCGUUUUGCAUAUUUAAAGACACCAAACUAAUUACAUGGAACCGAAUAUAGAAGCCAGAAGAUUGUGGGGGAAGGAUCGAGAGUGAGACGCCUUCAUUGCUGGCUGUCUCAACCUUACCAAGUCCUCCAAUGCGUUUCUCCUGUUAGUAAAAUAGCAAACAUAUUAAUCUGCCACUAGAACCAUAAGAAAAAAUAUCUUUAAAAACCAGUACAACCUUCAUUAGAGUCUUUAGUUAUAGAGAUGCAGCUAACUGUUUCAGAAUAUGGUUCGUUAAGUCUUUCAGCGUGUCAUGCCCGCUCAGUUCACUUCACUACCAGCAGCGGCGGAGAGAGGUGAAGAUGCAGAGGUCUCGUGGCGUGACGCAGGACUUGGUGAAGGAGUGAUAUGGCGUGGCGUGUGCUGUCUUCAUUUCACCAUCCUAUGAACAGCCCACAGGAAUCACUACCACAUCAGGCCUGACAUAUUCAUUGCAAUUAGGGAGUCGAGUUUCAUCAGGAAGAGAGGCUGAGUGUCACUACCUGUAAGUCUGACGAGGUGUUAAGGAGUUUAAUCAGGAAGUGAGGCUGAGUCUUGCUUGCUACCUGUAAGCCUGACGAGAGGAGUCAAGGAGUUUUUCAUUGUAAUCAAGGAAGAGUCAAGUUAAGAAGAUUGUAAGGCAAGAAUUUUAAGCAGGAAGAAUGAAUUGUCAAGCAGUUAACAGCAGUAAGAAUGCAGCGACAAAAGGGUACAAGAGUUUUCAAGUUGUAAGAUUGUAAGGCAAGAAUUUUAAGCAGGAGGAAUAUUGUGAAGCAGUUAACAGCAGGAAGACUCCUUCCUUGAAGCUGUGGUGGGAGUGACAAGCAUCCUUCAGGACUUGCAAAGGCUGAAGUCCUUAACACUUGUCUCUCAAGUUGACACAGGAGCUCUCGGACACAAGGAAAACAAAGGAUGACAUGUUUUAUCAUAAUUGUGUGUAUUUUAUUAAACUUUUGUGAUUAAACAAUAGUGAUUAAACAUUAUCUUAUACA